CCCUUAGAUGUUCUGGGCCGCACGCGCGCUACACUGACGAAGUCAGCGAGCAUGUCCUACGCCGACAGGUGCGGGGAAUCUUGUCAAACUUCGUCGUGAUGGGGAUUGAUUAUUGAAAUUCUUGAUCAUCAACGAGGAAUUCCUAGUAAGCGCAAGUCAGCAGCUCGCGUUGAUUACGUCCCUGCCCUUUGUACACACCGCCCGUCGCUACUACCGAUUGAAUGGUUUAGUGAGAUCUUCGGAUUGGCGCCACUGCGGCUCAGCAAUGGGCUCGGUGGAUGCCGAAAAGUUGAUCAAACUUGAUCAUUUAGAGGAAGUAAAAGUCGUAACA
rnacentral:rRNA from 1 species